rnacentral:tRNA from 1 species
GCUUUUGGUUCAGUGGUAGAAUGCUCGUCUGCCACGUGGGCGCCCCGUGUUCGAUUCCCGGCAGAUGCA